rnacentral:SRP_RNA from 1 species
GCCAGGCACGGUGGCUCAGGCCUAUAAUCCCAACACUUUGGGAGGCUGAUGCAGGAGGAUCACUUGAGGUCAGGAGUUCAAGUCCAGCCUGGGCAAAAUGGUGAAACCCGGUUUUU